AUGGCUAGAGUUAAAGGUGAACUUAAACUCAUUAGAAAAUAUGCUUCAAUGGUUGCCACUCAAGCUGAGCAAGUACUUAAAGCUCAAAGUGAUUUUCUUGAUGAAUUAAAUAAUAAACACGACUUUGCUGUUAGAGUGGCUACUAGAACUGGUAGAAUGACUCAGGAACCUUUGUAUCCUGAAGGCCACCCUAAGAGAAUCGAGCAAGAUUCUCAGAGAAAUAAUUUAGAGGCACCUAUUUCUUCCAAAAAGAAGAAAAAGAAAAACGAUAGGACUUUGCAUGCUUCUAGUGAACCUGUCAUAGACACACCUGAGAAUCCCAAUGAUAUUUCUGUUUCUGAUGCUGAAACACAAUCAGGUGAUGAACAUGAACCUAGUGAUAAUGUUAAUGAUAAUGUUCAUGUUGAUGCUCAACCUAGCAAAAAUAAUGAAGUAGAGGUUGAACCUGCCGUUGAUCUUGAUAGCCCACAAUCAAAGAAUCAACAUUAUGAUAAGAGAGAUUUUGUUGCUAGGAAGCACGGUAAAGAAAGAGAACCAUGGGUUCAGAAACCCAUGCCCUUUCCUCCUAAACCAUCCAAGACAAAGGAUGAUGAGGAUUUUGAGCGCUUUGCUGAAAUGACUAGACCUAUCUUCUUACGUAUGCGCUUAACUGAUAUGCUUAAGUUACAUACUUAUGCUAAGUAUAUGAAGGAUAUCAUUACGAAUAAAAGAAAGAUACUAGAAGCUGAAAUUUCCACCAUGCUUGCUAAUUACACUUUUAAGGGUGAAAUACCAAAGAAACUUGGAGAUCCAGGGGUACCAACUAUACCAUGCUCCACUGAAAGAAACUAUGUUAAAACUGCUUUAUGUGAUCUUGGAGCCGGUGUUAGUGUUAUGCCUCUCUAUUUAUAUCGUAGACUUGAAUUGAAUAAGUUGACACCUACUGGAAUAUCUUUGCAAAUGGCCGAUAAAUCAACUGCUAUACCUGUCGGUAUUUGUGAGGAUGUGCCUGUAGUGGUUGCAAAUGUCACUAUCUUAACGGACUUUGUUAUUCUUGAUAUUCCUAAGGACGAUAGUAUGUCGAUUAUCCUUGCUAGACCCUUUUUGAAUACUGCAGGGGCUGUUUUUGAUUGCAACAAAGGUAAUAUCACUUUUCAUGUUAAUGGUAAUGAGCAUACGGUACACUUUCCGAGGAAACAACCUCAAGUUCAUAGCAUCAAUUCUAUUGGAAAAGUUCCGACUAUUAUUAUUGGAGGUUUUGAAUUUCCUCUUCCUACUGUCAAGAAAAAGUAUGAUAUUCUUAUUAUUGGGGAUGUUCAUAUCCCGUUGAGGUAA
rnacentral:rRNA from 1 species